rnacentral:rRNA from 1 species
UGAGGAAUAUUCCGCAAUGCGCGAAAGCUUGACGGAGCUAUACCACGUGACUGAAGAAGGCUUUGCUGUAAAAGUCUUUUCUUAGAGAAGAAAAAAAUGACGUUAUCUAAGGAAUAAGUAUCGGCUAACUCUGUGCCAGCAGCCGCGGUAAUACAGAGGAUGCAAGCGUUAUUCGGUUUUACUGGGCGUAAAGAGUCUGUAGGUGGUUUUAAAAGUCUUUUGUUAAAAAUUAAAGCUCAACUUUAAUAAAGCAUUUGAUACUUUAAAGCUAGAGAUCAAUAGAGGCAGAAAGAAUUCCCGGUGGAGCGGUGAAAUGUGUAGAUCUCGGGAAGACUAACAAAGGCGAAGGCAUUCUGCUGGGUUGUAUUCUGACACUGAGAGACGAAAGCUAGGGGAGCGAAUA